AAUGGCUGUCAUACCCCCCUGAACAAGCCUGAUCCUGUCUGAUCUCGGAAGCUAAGCAGAGUCAGGCCUGGUUAGUAAUUGGAUGGGAAACCACCUAGGAAGACCAGGUGCUGUAGGCAUAA
rnacentral:rRNA from 1 species